CGAACGGGUGAGUAACACGUGAGUAACCUGCCCCAGACUCUGGGAUAACCCCGGGAAACCGGAGCUAAUACCGGAUACGACACGAAGAGGCAUCUCUAUCGUGUGGAAAGUUCUUCGGUCUGGGAUGGACUCGCGGCCUAUCAGCUUGUUGGUGAGGUAACGGCUCACCAAGGCUUCGACGGGUAGCCGGCCUGAGAGGGCGACCGGCCACACUGGGACUGAGAUACGGCCCAG
rnacentral:rRNA from 1 species